AACGACCCCCCCCCCCCCCCCCCCUCCCCCGCUUCUCGGGAUUUAUGGGGGCGACAAGUGUCCGCGAGGCCCUAAUGUUGUUAUUCUGUACGUCCGGGCUCGCGGUGGGCGGAGUUCCGUUGCCAUGACAAUGACGUCAAUGUUGGUGUCGAGUAACCAAAGGUCAAAAUAAAGACAAGUGAAUGAAAACGGAAGGAAACUUAACAAGCCGCCCAGAAUCGGACAGAACCCGGCCGAAUCGGGUCAAACUUCAGCCCGACACGCCGCGGCGGGUGUUGGCCUCGCGUUCUCCGGGGGAAAUCUUCGUUUGUGUCGCUGGUGCAAGGAAACAGAGGACAGCGGGAGAUGUCCCCUGAUGCCGGAGUCAUACCGGGGAUUCUUACGCACGGUUGCCAUGGAGCCACGGUGAUGGAAAAGCAACUGUGACAGAUCAUUCUGAAUGCACAUGGCAGUUUGAGGCUGUAAACAUCCCCGACUGGAAGCUGUCACUCAGAAGAGCUUUCAGUCUGAUGUUUACCACCUCCGACCGCCUCCUGCUCCACGGCGACGGAGGAGUCCGUGCACCCGUUUGACCCUCCGCCGCAGCAUCCAGGACUCUCGGAGUCCGCCUACCCGGCCGUUCCGGCUCAGUUGGUGUAAACAUCCUACACUCAGCUGUGAUCCUUUGCGGCAGAGGCUGAGAGAAGGUUGUUUACUUGAACUGGCUGGAAGUGACCCGCUGGCGUGAAGCGAGCCGAGCGAAGGGCGGCGGGGCCGAGGUCACGGGCCACAGGUUCAUCAAGUCGCUUCCCCCAAACAGCUUAGAGACAGCUGUUAAAACACCAGCCGCGUGUUUACAUACGAGUCAGGCAAAUUCACCCACAUGCUAAACCUUUAUUGACUUUAAGGUGACGCACUUUAAAAUAAUCCUUCUUCUCUGAAGGUCUGUAUCUGUUGUCGUGUGUCUGUUGUCGUGUGUCUGUUGUCGCUGUCAGCCGCUUAUAUUAAAUAAUGCUGCAUUCUCGUGAUGUGUAUUUGUUUUAUUUAACAUUGUUUUAAAGGUGUUUUUACCUCCUCAAUAUGUUUCUGAUAUAUUUUAAGCGUCUUCAUUUUGCCUGUUAUCAAAAUGUAAUUUAUAAAUGAGGGAGAGUUCAUUAGCUGUAAAGGUCAAAGGUCAGGCAGACAUCGCAGGGGUACCAGACCCAGUCCUCGAGGGCUACAGGGUGUGCAGCUCGUUUUAGGGCGGAAUGCGGCUCAGAUGGCGCCAUUCCGAGGGGAGAUAACGGCUUGUGAAGACCAGACUCCUCCGCUGAGGCGUGGAAGCAUCCGGGAGGCCUCCGUCUUCGUCGGGGCAACAGUGAACGCCAGCUGUGAGUGGGGACUGUUUUUCUUAAAAAUGUAAUAACUUCUUACGUGGCUCGUUUGGUUGAGCUGGUUCUACCUAUGUAAAUAUCCGAGGUUAGGGUUUGUUUAUGAAAAUUCAAAAGUCCUGCUCACGGGUGUUGUUCCGCACAUCGGCCACAAGGUGUCAGCAUCGCGCCGCUCCACGUCCCACCUUCCCUCGGUGGGACUGACUGGUGGGUCAUUGAACCGGAAAGGGCUCAUUUGGACAUAAUUGCAGGCCCGACAGAUGAGGAUAAAACUCCGUUGACACUCGGAUCUCAUUUCAAUAAAAAAUGUAACUGGUUUUCAGCAGUUUUGGUAAUUUAGCCCCUCCCCCACGUUAGAUCAGUCGAUCUGCCUUCGUGUGGCAGGUUUCGGUCAUGGCUGAAGGACCAAGCCGCUUCUGCCCGUAAUGUAAUCCCUCUAAUGAAAGUGUGAAUGAUGGUGAAAUUAUACCAUGGAGGAUGCAGUGGUAGCGACUGAUGGAGAUGUGGGCGGGGGUUAGCGAUAGCAGCAAUCAGUCACCUACAGCAGGGUGAAACGUGAUUAUGGCGGCGGUUCACAGGCUCUCUGCUUUGUAGCUAACAUCAUUUGUAUAAAUAUCAGAAGACAACUGAGGACACUGAAGACAGGAUCCUGCUACACCCCCGCUACCUCCUCCAGGCCUGCCAAACACUUUCCCACAGAACCCCAAAGCAAAUCCUGGAUCGGGCAUUAGCACGUGCAGCUAAUAGCAUUAUGAAACCAUUUGCUGUGCGCACCUGGGAAUAACUACCAGACAUUUGCAUUUGUAGCCCAAUUAGCCCACGAUGUCUGACGUCUUUACUGCGUUUCUGCUCUCCCAGCAGCUUCCAUCCAAACUCAGCCGUCCAGAUCAGUGUUUCCAUCCCCGUCCACCGUACGCAGAGUUAAACUGGCAUCACAAACGCAGACCUGUUUGAUUAGCAUUGAUGCUGCAGCGCUGCCACGUCCCAGGGCUCUUGGUCCCUGCUGCUGUCAAAAGUCAGGUGGGUUUAUACAGCGGGUUCUGUUACCUACACAUGAAAUAUUCAUAUUUCUC
ensembl:lncRNA